rnacentral:rRNA from 1 species
AACGAACGCUGGCAGCACGCCUAACACAUGCAAGUCGAACGAAGCAUAAGAGCUUGCUCUUAUGACUGAGUGGCGCACGGGUGAGUAACACGUGGGAAUCUGCCUAUUGGUGGGGAAUAACUUUUGGAAACGAAAGCUAAUACCGCAUAAGCCCUAAGGGGGAAAGAUUUAUCGCCAAUAGAUGAGCCCGCGCUAGAUUAGCUAGUUGGUGAGGUAAGAGCUCACCAAGGCUACGAUCUAUAGCUGGUCUGAGAGGAUGGUCAGCCACACUGGGACUGAGAAACGGCCCAGACUCCUACGGGAGGCAGCAGUGGGGAAUAUUGGACAAUGGGGGAAACCCUGAUCCAGCGAUGCCGCGUGAGUGAAGAAGGCCUUCGGGUUGUAAAGCUCUUUCGGAGGGGAUGAUAAUGACGGUACCCUCAGAAGAAGCACCGGCUAACUUCGUGCCAGCCGCCGCAGUAA